rnacentral:lncRNA from 1 species
ACAAGAUUGAUCACAUCACAAUUUCGUCCGAGCAUUGUGUGCUUCACUGUGUGGAGGAUGUAAGUCCAUAUGUUUGGGUUUCAGCUCUGUUUCUGCAUUCAUAUAUAUGUUUAAAUCAUAUUCUCUCGAAACAUAGUUAUGCGACAUAUUAAUAUACUCCUACAUAUCAAUAUUCUCUCGAAACAUAGUUGUAGCUUUAAUCAAAUUUCGAGUACGCACGGUGUUACACCUUUUUGUUAUAUUGUAUAUUUUUCUCCUUUCCCUUUUUUAGCCUGUUGUUUUCAUGUUUUCUUUUAGUAUUUAUAUUUAUAUAUUAGCGUGUUCAUAUUUUUAUUUAUUAUUGAUUUCUAUCCUUUUAUUGAUUUUUCAUACUCCCUCAAGGAAGAUGUACUUAAGCAAGCGAGAAGUCUUUAAAAUUGGCUAAGCUUCCUGUGAAAGCCUUGUUGCGACCUUCAAAUGUCUAGUUUAACUUUUAAUAGUGGUUUUUGUGUCUAUCUAGGUUAUAGUUAUAGGUAUUGCAGUUCAGAUUUAUAAAAUCUUACAGCUUCUCACGAGGCGUCAAGGAUGUGAGUAGGAGUUGUCAGGGAUAAGUUCUUCAAUUGGAUUUUAGCAAGGCGCUUGAUAGGGUCAAAUAGGGCUUUUUGAUAAGGUCAUGGAGAGGAAAGGUUAUGAAGAUAUAUCGAGGGCUUGGACUUGGGGUAAUCUUUCCUCUUUUUAUUUCUCUACAAUUUGGAGGGUUAAGGCUUCUAGGGGUUUUCGUCGAGGGGACCCAAUGCCCGUCUUUAUGUUUACAUUUGUUGUUAACCUUCUGAGUAGGGAUUUAGGUUAGAGCAGGGUCUAAAGUUGCAGUAUCGAAAGAUGUAUUAGACAGUCGAGUCUUGAUGGGGGUGUUGGCAUCGGUCGAUACUUAACAAAAAGCUAUAUAUUCCUUGAAAAUAGGAAAAUAAUAUUUUAAAAAAAAGAAUAAAGUAAAACAAUAAAUUAAAUACGUACAAAGUUAUCAUUUAAUACAUAUAAAUAUAUAACAUUGUAUAAGUCAUAUGAUUCAUAACAGUUAGACCAUAAAGUAUAGCCACUGCCAAUACUGAUAUGUGUGGGCUGAUACGUAUAUAUAUAUCAAAUGUUUAAACGAAUUCCCAUUGUCAACAUCUACUGCAAAGUGUUAUUGUUCAAAGAAACUAAGUACCAUACUGUGGUGGGUUUGUUCACUCUUUGUUUUUCUUCUGUGCAAAUUAUUUAAGACUAAGAUAUUAAUUGGCUGAAAAGUGGUAAUACUUGCUUCCCUUCUGUGGUUUGCAGAUAACUAAGGUUGUCUAUGUUUCUCGUGUUCCGCUGCGCCGCUAGUGUUUGUCGCUCGUGUGCUAACUGCUAAAAAGAAAACACACAAAUCUCGAGGCUCAUACCAUUACUAGUGAUAUCGUUGGAUGAUGCUGUUUGCUCUCUAAGGAAAUUGAGGUACAUUACAUUAUAUAGUAGUUUUUGAACCUUGAAGCUUUGUUCACUGUUUUAUCCAAAUUGAUUAUUUUACACUUAAGGGUGUAUUGGGAUCUUGAUUCUUGUCUUAAAAUACUCCAACAAACGAUUGUGAUUGCUGGUUUUCUGGGGUUGGUAAUGGGUUCCUCGCACCAGACCAUGCUUGUGAAUUUUUGUUUCUUUAGUUAAAUUUUGUGGUACUGUAGAAAAGCCCAUCAGCUUAUUGCCAAAAUUUGGGCUCUUUUUACUGUUACUCCAUUUUUUACUGUUGAAGUGGUGGGAGUAGAGAAUUUUCCUUCACAGGAUACUCCUGUUAUAUAUGUGUCCAACCACCAGAGCUUUUUAGACACAUAUGUUCUUCUCACUCUGGGUAGUAGCUUCAAGUUCAUCAGAUUUUUUUCUUUUCUGUUGUUGGAUGGGACGUGUUUUUAAUGGGUGUUAUUCCUUUGAAGCGCAUGGACAACAGAUGCCAAUUGGUAACUUGAUUCCUUCCCUUGAAAAUAUUAUUUCACCUUUGAUGCAAAAAAUUAAUCAAUUUGUUUAGGUUGGAUUGCCAUUUGGGAAAUUUAUAUUAUAGUACUUGUUCUAGUAAACUAUUGUUCUUCUCUUGAACUAUACAAGUUAUAUUUUUUGUCUUUAUGAAUGUAACAAACUCUCAAACGAUGCAUGGAUCUUGUGAAGAAGGGAGGAUCUAUUUUUUUCUUUCCAGAGGGUACGGAAUAAAGAUGGAAAAUUAGGGGUAUUCAAGGUGUGGUCUAUUGAUGGUUCUUACUCCCAACAUUACCAUAUGGUAUUACUUACGUAAAGGUAGUAGGAAAGUUUCAGAUGCUCGUGUGAUGAGGAUUUUUUUUCUUCAUCUUCUAAACUACAUAGAGGAGCAUUAUUCUGAAGUCUAACUAUAAAAAAAUCACAACUUCUAUUUAUACCCUGCUGAAUUUAGUAUGUUCACACACUGCCUUUUGUACUAUAGUCUUAAUUGCAAUAGGGAUGGCCUAGAAAAUAUUUAUAUAGGAAGAAUUAUGGAUGUCCUCAAAAGAUUUGAUUUCAAACAAAAGGGUUGUGCUUAUAAAAUUUCUUUAAAGAUCUCCAUAUGUUGUUUUUACUUGCCCAAAAGCUUGCCUUUCUUAUUGUGGAUAAUGGUAGUAGGAAAUAUGCUCUAAUGAUGACCUUCGUUUUAUGCUUUGUAUAUAUAUAUAUAUAUUUUCUUUUAGUGAUCAAAAUAGGUUGAUCUUUUCAUCUUCCAUUUAUAAUAAGUAAUUGAAUAAUGCAGUUUGGGUAAAUUUAGCACGUUUUCUUGACUUUGCUAUUAUUUUUAAAUAUGUGCAGGAAGACUGCUUCUACGACCUGCCUUACAAUAUUGGGUAUCAAAUUACCGUGCUACGUUUACGGAAGACAAGGAACGAAAUUAUGAAGUGUACUCUCUCUAUAUAUGUAGAUAUAUACUUUGAUUGAAAAACUGUGG